UUUCCCUGUUGGAUCACUAGACAUAUGGGUAUUAUGACUCAUACUGUGGUACUCUAUUCCUCUUGUCAGAUCAGCUAAAAAGAAGGAAUAGGAAACAAUUUUAAGAAAACAUAUUUAAUAUCAGUGUUUUUCCAGACUCCCAUUGUGUUUUUUCAUUAAGCUAUCAUGUCAAAUAUUGGUAAAAUUGGGAUUGUGAAUGCACCCCAAGCACGACCGAGUCCUCGACACUGACAAACUACAAGACCUGGAAUGCAUUGCGAGAGGAUUGCGAUAUAUGUACAUCCGAAAUGUAUUUACGACUUACCGUAUUGUGAUUUAUUUACAUGGCAAUACAGAAAAUAUGUUCAACAAAAAAACCACGAAGACAUUUUAGGCAAAAGAAAGGAGAAUCGAGCGAUGAAGCUGAACAGAAGAACGGAGAGGGUGAUGACGUAGGGUAAAACACAAGUUACCGCUGAUAGCAUAAAGCCCUUCAAGUCGUCGCAGAACAAGUCGGACUCGAGUGGUGCUGAAGACGUAGUGGAAGAUCACAGAAUUGAUCGAUCGCGGUUACUAGAUCGCCUCACAGCAAAGAGAACAAGGAUGGACGAAAUCAAAUUAACGUGCUCAGCUUCUCUGACGACAAAGUGGUGAUCCCGGACGCGAGGAGGAUCCAGGCAGCCAGGAAGCAGCGUCAGAAGGCCAGAGCCCAGAAGGACUACAUCUCCCUGGGCAGAGACUGGGAGAGCCCCCCCCGGACCCCAGACCACUAGGACCUGGAGGAACACAGUGAUGAAGAAGAUGAUGAUGAUAAGCCAGAUGACCAUGAACGAAGGAUCAAGUUUGCCCCACGGUCCAAAACCAUCAGGGAGAGGAUAGCAGAGAAGAUGGGGAGUGAUGGUGAUGACAGUGGCUCUGAAGACCAGGAGGGAGAGGAGAAUAACCUGUGGGAGGAGCAACAGAUUGGGAAGCGAGUCAAGCGACACCCUGGGGAAACGGGUAAGAUAUUCACCCCUCUACUUUCUAAGUCGCACAGAAAACACACUUACUUUCUCACUCCGUCACUUCACCGUCUGUCCUUCGGUCCGUCCGUGAGGAAAUCUUCAUUCCGCACGACCCUAAGAAGUGAGUGACUCCACCAGUUAUCUCAACACUUAGAGGAUCUGUGAUUUAUUUAAGUAGUUACUGGAAUUCAUGUGUCAUACCAAGCUUGUCAUGCCGUAGCUUACAGUACUUUACCAUGACGCCCUGGUGUUCUGGCAGGUUUUUAGAUGACAAAUCUUCUCCACAGUGGCGGUUCAGAGACCAGCCGUUCUGGACAGCCGCGAAGCUCUUAGGUAACGUGGGCCGGUGGGGUGCUACCUGAACACGCUCUAAAGGAGCUUGAUGUUGGACAAACUCCUGAACUGCUACCUGAAUGAUGACGCUACUCAACGAGACCCCAUCUCAGGACUCUGUCCAUAAAUGCAAAAAGGUCGCGGCGUGGUUUAAAGACGUGAGCUCCUGUCCCUCUCAGCUGAAGUCCUUCAGUGACCAUCUCCUCCAGACAGCCCAUUCAGUAUACAAACAACAGCCUGACCACCCCAACACACGGCCCGUGGUGAGCGACGUGCUAACUUUUCUGGGAAGCAUCAAGGCCUGGGACAAGGUAUUGACGAUAUCAGACAAAAACCAUUACAAAGACCUGGUGUCCUAGUGUGUCCUACUGUGUCAACCAUACUUCAUGUAAUAUUUGUUGUAAUUUUGUACAUUACACAACUGUAUUUGUACUUAUUUUUAUAUGUAUAUAAAUAAAUGUAGAUGUUUGGUCCAGUUCCCCUCCAAA